CCUACGUGCGGCUGCAGUGGAGAAUAUUGCACAAUGGGGGCAACCCUGAUGCAGCAACGCCGCGUGAAUGAGGACGUAUUUCGGUAUGUAAAGCUCUAUCAGCAGGGAAUAGAAAAGAAGGUACCUGAAAAAGAAUCCCCGGCUAACUACGUGCCAGCAGCCGCGGUAAUACGUAGGGGGCAAGCGUUAUCCGGAUUUACUGGGUGUAAAGGGAGCGUAGACGGAAAGGUAAGUCAGAAGUGAAAGCCCAAGGCUCAACCAUGGGACUGCAUUUGAAACUGUCAAACUAGAGUACGGGAGGGGAAAGAGGAAUUCCUGGUGUAGCGGUGAAAUGCUUAGAUAUUAGGAGGAACACCAGUGGCGAAGGCGUGUGACUGGACCGAAACUGACGUUGAGGCUCGAAAGCGUGGGGAGCAAACAGGAUUAGAUACCCCUGUAGUC
rnacentral:rRNA from 1 species